GCCGGAGUGGCGGAAUUGGUAGACGCAGAGGACUCAAAAUCCUCCGCCCGCAAGGGUGUGCGAGUUCGAGUCUCGCCUCCGGCACCA
rnacentral:tRNA from 1 species